UACGAAGGGGGUGAGCGUUGUUCGGAAUUACUGGGCGUAAAGGGCGCGCAGGCGGCCUUAGAAGUCAGAUGUGAAAGCCCCGGGCUCAACCUGGGAAUGGCAUUUGAUACUCUGAGGCUGGAGUACGGGAGAGGAGAGUGGAAUUCCCAGUGUAGAGGUGAAAUUCGUAGAUAUUGGGAAGAACACCGGUGGCGAAGGCGGCUCUCUGGACCGUAACUGACGCUGAGGCGCGAAAGCUAGGGGAGCAAACAGG
rnacentral:rRNA from 1 species